rnacentral:rRNA from 1 species
UACGUAGGGGCAAGCGUUGUCCGGAAUCAUUGGGCGUAAAGCGCGCGUAGGCGGCCCGGUAAGUCCGCUGUAAAAGUCCAGGGCUCAACCCUGGAAAGCCGGUGGAUACUGUCGGGCUAGAGUCCGGAAGAGGCGAGUGGAAUUCCUGGUGUAGCGGUGAAAUGCACAGAUAUCAGGAGGAACACCAAUUGCGAAGGCAGCUCGCUGGGACGUUACUGACGCUGAGACGCGAAAGCGUGGGGAGCAAACAGG